ensembl:lncRNA
CAGCACUCUUCUCCCCAGUGCUGGACGACAUCUAGGAGCACAGAGCAGCACUCUUCUCCCCAGUGCUGGACGACAUCUAGGAGCACAGAGCAGCACUCAGUCUGGCCUAACACACACACAAACAUGCAUACACUUUCUAUCCUCCCGGGGACUUUUACUCCUGAAGGAUUGGCUCAACAAGUGUUCGACGUUUCUACCCUAUCGAUCGACAGUGGGAUGAAUGGACUCUACAAUUUGUGGCAGCCUCCCCAUUUAGGACAAAGUAGAUCCGCAAACAUGGACCAUCCACCUGGGUGCUCAACGACUGCAGCCAUUUUGUGCCAGAAGAACCUGAAUGGGAUCCAGUGAGCAUGUCUGAGGUGUUACACUUCAAAGUAGUCUGCUGUAUAAGGAGAGCUAUUUUCAAACCAAUGUUUUGUACAGAAUCAUUACUCUGUUGAUGGUUGAAGUAGAUUUGUCAUUGACUUUUUUUGCACUGGUUCUCCCAGCUGUGAACAUAUGAGAAGCCAGCACUGCAUUCCACCUAUGUUAAUGGAAAUAGUUUGCCGCAACAUCGACUUUUGUUCGGCGGUAUUGUUUAUGAAAACUGAUCCAAUGUGGUCGAGAUCCCAUAUUUUAUGCCAUCUGUUUUGUAGGUCAUAUUUGUGUGCAUUUGGAAGAAGCUGCAGGCCUGAAUCUCAAAUCAAUAUGAAAAAUAGGCACCAAUUGCUGUGAGGUUUAUAUGUUGCCAGUCUGUCUUUCCCAUUAAUAUGGGACCAAAGCUGAUUUAUCCAAAUACAUACAGAAUGAUCAGAGUUUUUUGAUGGCAUAAAAUAUAAUAGUCAGGGGACUUUGUUACAUCAUUUUGGGAGGAAUCUUAGAUUUUUGGUAUGAACUACCCCUUUAAAUCUCCCAACCCUGUCAAUGAUUGAUUUGUUCACGUGGCCAACUUUUUUCCUUAAUGAAUGUAUAAAAAAACAAACUUGUACAGGGGGAGAAGUAUUUAAAACUGUAGUACUGUUUUUAUAUUUUGCUGUUUUUAAAUAAAGGUAGACUUGAGUCAUUUUAAAUGUUACUUUUUUAAAUAUUUAAGGUUAUUCGUUAGUAAUCCGUCCCUCCCAUUGGUUCAUCUUCUAGAGUCAGUGGCUGAUUAUGGUAUGGAGUGAUUUCAGUGCCAACAGAGAUUGUAUUUGAAUUUUAUCAUUUUGAAUUUGUUUUAGGAUAUUGAGUUUGAUAUUUUUUUAUGUUUAAUGCACAACUUGAAUCAUUGAAUUCAUACAUUUUACUUGUAUUUCAGGAUUUGAAACGGAAUUAUAUUAAUAUUCAUGGUAGAUAUUGUAUUCAUUGUCUGUAUCAAGUUUACAAACCAUCUUUUGAAGAUAUUCAAAGUUCCAUAUGUUCAACUUCCCAGAUUCAGUUUUCAAAUUCAGCUCUCUAAAUCCAGCUUCAAAACCACAGCCAACAUCCUGAUACUUUGCCAGCAAGGAAAGGUAGAGGAGAAUGGAUAUUUUUGGUCAUGUAGUGUAUGUGGACACCUGCUUGUCGAACAUCUCAUUAUAAAAUCGUGGGCAUUAAUAUGGAGUUGCCCCUCCCUCCUUUCUGCUAUAAAAGCCUCCACUCUUCUGGGAAGACUUUCCACUAGAUGUUGGAACAUUGCUGCGGGGACUUGCUUCCAUUCAGCCACAAGAGCAUUAGUGAGGUUGGG